AAGAUUCCAUUGAAAGAAAGUAAGAUUCCAUUGAAAGAAAUAAAGAAACACUGAAAAAACAAACUCCAUGCUUCACGUUAAGACUUAAGGGGUUAAGUUUCUGAACAGCUACAAACUUGCUAGAACUAGUACAGUAUUUCAUGUUUAUCGUAGUACACUAUUUAAACAAGGAGACCAUUUCUGUACUUAUCAAAAGGCAAGUUAAGAAAAAAGUUCCUAUUCAAUAAUCUCUAGAAGUCGUUAAAGAGUUCAAAAGCUGCUUGCUCGAUAUAUUGAGAAAUUCCACAAUCUUUCCAAGCGAAUGAUGAAAACCUAAACAACAUGAUUUUUCCCUUUUAUGAAAAUAAAGGAGUUUUAUAAAUAAAAAAGAGGAGAUAAAAUAAACCAGGGGUCAAGAAGUCCACCCUCACCAGACUCGUGAAAAAGAACUCUUAAAAAAUGCAGCCUUCUAAUCUCUAUAGAGACCAAUCACAGAGGUAUCCUUGAAGGGCCCCAUAGCAAAAGACCAAAUGGAACCAAGAAAAUAACCCUCUCUUACAACCGAAAAGAUAAAAACAACCAACAAUCUAGCAUUGCACAAAAGAAAACAUGAAAUUUAUGAAAAUAUUGAUGCAUUAAUUAUCUCUACCCAAGAAAUCCUCAGACAACUAUUUUGAUUUUCUCUACAGAAAAGUUCCGAUCCAUAUUUUAAUUCACAAUAUGCUGAACUUUUCUUUCUUUUAGCAUUACAGCAAUAAUGCCAUAAUCACCUUUUCUCAGUAAUAUACUACUUACUCGUUUUCAUGUAUGCAUCAUUUCGUCUAAGUUUAUAUCCUACUGUUACAAAACAUGUUUCCAUUAGUUUGGUCCCUUCUUCUUUUAUUAUUUUCCAUUCCACUUCACAAUGCUUAUAUCUAAGCAUAUUUUUUUCAAUUGUAUACUAAUAUGUCUCAAGAAACUUGAUUUCUUGAUACUCUUUUUCUAUAAAACGUACAUUUACCUUCAUAGCUGCAAGUGAUAGUAUAUUACACUCAAAACACAGCUCACUUAACCCAAAUAUCCUUCAAGCUUAUAAUCGAUAUCAUUUCUAAUUUCUGACUCCAUUAUAACUGAGUUAAAAUGAGGAAAGUGUUUACUCUUUAACAUCUCUUAUCCUAAUACCAUAAUGAAAAUACAUCUCUUAUCCUUCAGUAUUACCAGUAUUUGAUUCGCAACCUUUAGUAAAGUAACAUUUUAUAUAGUCAAGUUUACUCCAACUUACCUCUUUAUUCUCAGUUGUCACACCAUGCUUUUAAUUUCUCAUUAUUCUUUUUCUUACUGAGAGUAACUAUUGUGAGAGAAAUCCUUGCCUCAACUACUUGGAUUUUCACAAGGUAAAUUAUCUUUCUCCAGUCAUGCAUGCUUAUUAGGUCGAAAUGGUAGUUCACAAUAUUUUGAACUUUUCCUUCUUCCAGUAUCACAGUAGAACUCUCCACGUGCCACAAAUGACCUACGAACACAAAAAAAAAAAAUUCCCAGAAUACAUCGAGAAGAGCUAACUCAGCAAGUCCUUAUGUUAUACAAGGAAUCUAAUGUUAAGAGCAUCAUUCUUCUAAGUAACUACUGGUUUUCAAUGCAAGUCCCAAACAUCUAAUGAUUAUUUCCUCGGAAUUCAUCCAACUGGUGUGAAACAAGUUCCUUUCAGUUGAUUCUCCUUUCCUUAAUCAAAUGUACAUCUUGACAUAUCAUUCUGUCCAUUUUAUGCAUGAUUGAAUUUCUAACUAUUUUUCUAGACUACCAAAAUGAAAGAGCUAAAAAUUCUAUUUAUAUGGAGAUUGAAAUUUUUCUGUAAUUAUAUUAUUAUUAUUAUAUUAUUUUUAUUUAAUAAUAGGGAUGUAGGACAUUUUAUAUUGAUCAGGGAAUUUUUUAUUAUUUAGUUAGGGUAUUUUAGUCGCCAAGCACUUUUCUUAUUCCUCAGGUAAAACUAGGUUUUAUUCUCUUUAAAUAGUGUUCUACCUCCCGCAAGUUAAUUAAAUAAGACUAUUAAACAUAUUGAUAUUUGAAGGAUUAUCCAUAUCGUGAGGUUAUCAUCAUUGUCUGUGAAUGAGAGUGAUCUCUACGUGGUGACCUCAAAGCACUCUACGCGGUGGCUGAUUCUCUACAGGUAAGGCAAAAUUUAUCUUUAGUUUCUUGUCCUGCAUCAACAUAAAGCAUGAUUUUCUAUGCCUUCUAACAUAAAACUCAAGUUUCAGCUUCACAACUAUAAGUGGUAAAACACGUUAAGAUAACUCAAACAUACUUCAAUUCUAUACAUAUAGUUUGAUAAAUUCCUCUUCGAUACAUCUUGUCUUCCAAACUUUAUUAUGUCAGCAUUUGCUUACAAAAGUAACAUUCUAUAUAUGCAAGUUCACUCCAACUCGUAGCCUCCUAAUUAUAGAGUGCCUACACCGUAAUUCUAGUUAGCUUCUAAUUUUACAUUAAUGUAACAAAGAUUAACUAUUGUUGGAAAUUUGCCCCCCUAUUUCUUUGUAUAAUACUAUUUAUAGUUUUAUGUAGAACUGAAAGUCUUCUUACCAAUGAUAUUAGUACAUAUUAGGGGAGAGUAUAAAACUGCAAUCGCACCGGAAAAACCGGCACGUGCAAUAUAUUUUUUAUAUAAUAUAUUUAUAUAUUAUAUAUUUAAAUACAAUUAUAUUAUUUAUAUAUUUUUUUAAUUUUGUUAAAAAGUAAAACAAAUAUAAAAGUUAUUCAUGACUUAUUCAUUUUUUGUUUUUACAUUUGACAAAAUUAGAAGGAAGAUAAUAGAACAAUGUUUUUACAUUUUACAUUCAUUUUUUUUUGUUUUUACUUCAAAGAGCAAUGUUUUAUAAACUAUAUUGUUAAUUGUUAUUCUUUAUUUAAAAUAUUCUAGUUAUUGUUAAGAAAAAUAUUAAUUUGGUGUUAAUUUAAUUUGAAUAAAAAUAAUACUAAUUAAUAUUUUCAAUUUGUGUAAUGUAUAUUUUUUUUCCUGUCUAAGUGUGGUUUUGCACCCGCAACUGCACCACAACCGCAAGAAACUGCAUUGACGCGGUUGCUAAAAGUUAAGAACCGCAUAUUGCGGUUGUGGUGGGACCUUAAAACCGCACCGCGCUCUCCCCUAGUACAUAUGUAUGAAGACGGUAAAUUUAUUCUUGAUUUAAGUAUAUAAGAAGAAACUGAAGACAAAAAGAAACAAUAAAUAUCAUAUAAAUAUUACUUAAUACCUUAAAACAUUUUGCCUAGACGGUAACCACAUCCAUAUUGCUCCUACAAAGCACACUUAGUGAUCAAGUAUCACCAACUUACCUAAGAAGAAUUAAGAAGGAAAAAACAUAGUAUUUCUUUCCAAAUGCUGUUAAGAAUUAGCCCAUGUCUCCAAGACGCAAACAGUUCAGUAUUUCAAAAUGGAAUUCCAAUUUGCCCUUUGAAAAAGAAACCUGUAAUUUGGGCUUAAAUUGGAAACAAGGUAUGCACCAUAAAAAAAAGUACAAAGGAAAAAGAAUUAUUGUUAAGUGGCAUAAUAACUUAUUGUAGAAUUUUGUAUUAUUUUAUAAUGAUGUUUGAUUUGUGGGAAUGCUCAUCCCCGCUUACCUUCUAUACUCUUUCUCCUUUUUAACAAAAGCAUAUAUCCUUUCUUCUUCAGUUAUCUAAAUUUCACUAUUCAGCAUUUUCUUUGAGUUAAAAAUUUGCACUCCACAGUCAAAAAACAUAUACUUCUAUUUUAUAGCUUCCAAGUUCUGUUCACAUUUUAGGUAUGUUUCACUCAUUUAUUUCAUUAGUCUUAAUGAUAUCCCCACAGCAGACAAAAAUAUCAAGCAUAAAGUGCAAUAUGUCUGUUAUAC
rnacentral:lncRNA from 1 species